rnacentral:rRNA from 1 species
UAGAGUGUGGUAGGGGAGACUGGAAUUCCUGGUGUAGCGGUGGAAUGCGCAGAUAUCAGGAGGAACACCGAUGGCGAAGGCAGGUCUCUGGGCCACUACUGACGCUGAGGAGCGAAAGCGUGGGGAGCGAACAGGAUUAGAUACCCUGGUAGUCCACGCCGUAAACGGUGGGCACUAGAUGUGGGGACUAUUCCAUGGUUUCCGCGUCGCAGCUAACGCAUUAAGUGCCCCGCCUGGGGAGUACGGCCGCAAGGCUAAAACUCAAAGGAAUUGACGGGGGCCCGCACAAGCGGCGGAGCAUGCGGAUUAAUUCGAUGCAACGCGAAGAACCUUACCAAGGCUUGACAUAUACGGUCUAUCCCUAGAGAUAGGGAGUGAUUUUUUCGCCGUAUACAGGUGGUGCAUGGUUGUCGUCAGCUCGUGUCGUGAGAUGUUGGGUUAAGUCCCGCAACGAGCGCAACCCUCGUCCUAUGUUGCCAGCACGUUAUGGUGGGGACUCAUAGGAGACUGCCGGGGUCAACUCGGAGGAAGGUGGGGAUGACGUCAAAUCAUCAUGCCCCUUAUGUCUUGGGCUUCACGCAUGCUACAAUGGCCGGUACAAAGGGCUGCGAUACCGUAAGGUGGAGCGAAUCCCAAAAAGCCGGUCUCAGUUCGGAUUGAGGUCUGCAACUCGACCUCAUGAAGUUGGAGUCGCUAGUAAUCGCAGAUCAGCAACGCUGCGGUGAAUACGUUCCCGGGCCUUGUACACACCGCCCGUCAAGUCACGAAAGUCGGUAAUCAUCACCGAAGCCGUCUGGCACUAUCUACUUGGGACCGAGACUCGUAGAGUCGAGAGCAAACUGCAC